rnacentral:rRNA from 1 species
GGGCCCGCACAAGCGGUGGAGCAUGUGGUUUAAUUCGACGCAACGCGCAGAACCUUACCAGCCCUUGACAUGUGGAGUUUGGUUAUCAGAGAUGAUUUCCUUCAGUUCGGCUGGCUCCAACACAGGUGCUGCAUGGCUGUCGUCAGCUCGUGUCGUGAGAUGUUGGGUUAAGUCCCGCAACGAGCGCAACCCUCAUCUUUAGUUGCCAUCAGUUCGGCUGGGCACUCUAGAGAAACUGCCUGGGAUGACCAGGAGGAAGGCGAGGAUGACGUCAAGUCCUCAUGGCCCUUAUGGGCUGGGCUACACACGUGCUACAAUGGCGGUGACAAAGGGACGCAAUAGGGCAACCUGGAGCAAAUCCCUAAAAGCCGUCUCAGUUCGGAUUGUUCUCUGCAACUCGAGAGCAUG